AGAACUUUUGUCAAUGUUUCUCUCAAAAAAAAUUUGAAAUUUUUUGAAAUUUUUUUGAUUUUUUUUCGAUUUUACUGUUCAUGCGGGAGCAUAUGAGCUCGGGUGCAGAUUAGCCGCGUCCCACUUUCUGUAUGUUUUGAGCCGACAUGUGGAUAUAACAGGCUUGAUGCUGAUCCAUUGCAGCUUUAUUUUUACGGCACACUCUGCUGGUUUUGGUAACCCAUUCACAGGCUUUCUAGCAAAGGUAUGUACUAUUGUUCAGGUGGUCUUAUUCUGAUGGCUCAACUGAUUGAGUCACAGCUCCGCUUUCUCAGGUCAGCCCAAAGGCUUGGAGUGAGCUAUUCAGUAUUUUGUUUUUUUACUUAUUAAUCUUCGAUGGUGUUUAUACUAUUCUAUGAAUAGCUUCUGGAAUUGAGGUUUAAUAUUUUAAAAUGUACUGAGUAAUAAUAACAAGCCAGUUCUCAUGGCAGCUUUAACCCUUUGUCAUUGGUCUGAGUACCCUGAGUAAGAAAGAAAGCUUUUCCUGUCUAAUCCGUGAUCUGUCCCUUUUGGUGUGGAGCAUAUUCCUCCACUUGUUUCAUCAAUUGGAAUCCUGGUACAUGGCAUGAUUAUUUCUUUCCUAGAAACGAGUUGAAAUGAAAUGAGUAGUUAGAAUCACUAUUUCAGAUGAUCCAUCUCUGCUUUUCUUGGGGAUGCGUGUUUUGUAUCCUUGCGGCUGGAUCUAUUAUUCUGAUGCAUUAGCACAGCACCUGGAGCGGUGCUGUUCAUCAUGCAACGCUUCUUUUUCAGUGGCUCAGCCAUCGGGGAUGCCAAUGACACAGAAAAAGCAGCUGCAUACAGAUCCAAGGAGACCCGCCAUGUGGCUGGGGAGCACUAUGAUCUGAAUUUUGUGAAGUCAGCCAUCAGGCAUCUAUCAGUGUACGGUGAGGUUGUUUCUACCACGGUGCUUAUCCAUCUGAUGGUUCUCAUACUUGGAUGCUAUAAUAUCCGAGUCGUCCACAAGUUGAGAUAUGGCUGUUGAGGUUCAUGACUGAACGCACAUCCACAGUUGCCCCUAAGCUUAAGCUGUAAUGUUGGACAUGGAGGAACAUUUCAGAUUUGGAAAAGCUGGCAUUGACACAGAGGGCUAGCCCUGGAUAACUUCAUAAAGGAGGCUAAAGCAUAGUAAUAACGAAAGAAGGAAGGAAUGAUUGACACUGAGGGUUAGUACUAAAUUCAUGAUGAGGACUUGCACGUGUCAGGAAAUCUGUGAAGAUACAUUGGUGAUUAGCAUUAUGUUGUGUUAUAUGUAUGUAUCCAUGCCCAAUGAAGAAAAGGGGAGAUCAGACACAGUAUGGUUUCUCUGGAUAGAGUGCAAAAGUCAUCAACUUAUCACACAAUUGAUGAUUCUUAUUUGCUAUUAUGGGGUUUCUGCAGCCUGCCUGCGGGUAAGAUGUGGAAAUGUUAAGUAAGAUCACUGGCAUACUUGUCUUUUCUAUUGAUUUGACAUCUGUCCUUUUUCACGCAUUUCACGUGAUUAAAUUCAAGCCUGUCCAUGAGAUUCUGAUUUCAGAUUGGCUCAUAGAUAGAAACAGGAAAAAAACUCAUGGAAAGAAGAUAGAUGCUCUGGGUUGAUCCUUGUCCUACUCAUUUACUGCUGAGGCCCGAGGAGUAACUAUAAGACCCCUUUGAAAUUCAGGAUUCUGAAACGUAGGAACAGAAAACCUUGUAUCCUAAACGAAAGCACACAACUUUGUACAAAUAGAUCUUUAGAUGUUCAACUGAAAUUAUACAAGAUUUUGCCCCUCUUAGAAUUCCUCCAAAGUUCUAUGGACUUGGUGCUCCCUAGAUUAACCACAAGCUAAUUCUUUUUGAAGGGCCACACUCAAACUGAAAGAUGGACUAAAUGUAAUUACAAUAGGUGUUUAUAACUUGAUGAUGCUUAUUUAAUCAGUAAGUGCAUCUUCAACUGAACUGGGCAGCCGGUCGCGCGCAUUUGUCCGUCCGUGCAACCAUUCCCCUUAUUAACGAACCCUUAAAACCAUACAAAAGCCCGCAACGUAAAAUGAGAAGAUUUCAUACAUGCAUGCGUAGAUAAAAACGAGAUGCAAAUACAUUUGA